rnacentral:RNase_P_RNA from 1 species
UGGGCAGGCCGGGUGAUCGCGGGCGGAAGUACUCCGUUCGAGGAAAGUCCGCGCUCCAAAGAGCACGGUGCCGGGUAAUACCCGGGUGGGGUAACUCACGAAAAGGGCCACAGAAAAUGUCCGCCCCAUUAGUGGGGUAAGGGUGAAAAGGUGGUGUAAGAGACCACCGGCGUUGCCAGCAAUGGCAUCGGCCAGGCAACCUCCACCGGGAGCAAGGCCAAGCAGAGGUGAAGCUCAUCAGAGCGGGGAACUGCUCGUUCCCAUCGAGUCUCGGGUAGGCUGCUAGAGCUCAGCGGAAACGCUGAGCCCAGAUAGAUGAUCACCAAGUUGUUCUAUCGUGGGAUUCGGGAUUUCCCGGGUGCCAUAAUUCGACAGCAGACAGAACGCGGCUUAUAGGCUCGCCCACACA